AACCUUUGACAUCCCGAUCGCGGGCACCAGAGAUGGAGCCCUUCAGUUCGGCUGGAUCGGAGACAGGUGCUGCAUGGCUGUCGUCAGCUCGUGUCGUGAGAUGUUGGGUUAAGUCCCGCAACGAGCGCAACCCUCGCCCUUAGUUGCCAUCAUUCAGUUGGGCACUCUAAGGGGACUGCCGGUGAUAAGCCGGAGGAAGGUGGGGAUGACGUCAAGUCCUCAUGGCCCUUACAGGG
rnacentral:rRNA from 1 species